GUGAAGCUGUGGGGCGCGAUAGGAGUCACUGAAUACCCGGGGCCGAUAAGAUGCUUAUGGGGGCUGACCCUGACCGGAGCCGUGGUUCCGGACACUUGGCUCCCACCUACACUGUAGGGACCCAAGGGCAUCGAAAUCUCCACCGGCCUUUACGGCUUCACU
rnacentral:other from 1 species